rnacentral:lncRNA from 1 species
CUAGAGAGGAGCCGGCAUCGCAAGUCAAACGCAAGCAGAGGAGGCUUUUUGCAUCUCGCUGCGGAGCCGCGCUCGCAGCCCGGCAGCCCCGCGGGUCCCUCCCGGCGCUGCGGGCGCGGGGCUCGCCCCGGCUCCUCUCCCGGCUCGCUCGCUCUCGGAGGAAAGUCGCUUGGGUACAUUACUGAACCUUCUCUGGAGCUACAGUAAGUUUUUAAAUGGAAAUUGAGGUUUGGAGAUGCUGCACUUUCAGACACAAGAGGAGGGUGAGCUCCUGGAUGGAGAUACCUACAUGAAGCUUCAUCAGUGCUAGUCCUUGGGAGG